rnacentral:rRNA from 1 species
AGGCUUUGAUCCUGGCUCAGGACGAACGCUGGCGGCGUGCCUAAUACAUGCAAGUCGAGCGGACUGAUGGGAGCUUGCUCCCUGAUGUUAGCGGCGGACGGGUGAGUAACACGUGGGCAACCUGCCUGUAAGACUGGGAUAACUCCGGGAAACCGGGGCUAAUACCGGAUAACCCGUUCCACCUCAUGGUGGAGCGGUAAAAGAUGGCCUCUGGCUAUCACUUACAGAUGGGCCCGCGGCGCAUUAGCUAGUUGGUAAGGUAGUGGCUUACCAAGGCGACGAUGCGUAGCCGACCUGAGAGGGUGAUCGGCCACACUGGGACUGAGACACGGCCCAGACUCCUACGGGAGGCAGCAGUAGGGAAUCUUCCGCAAUGGACGAAAGUCUGACGGAGCAACGCCGCGUGAGCGAUGAAGGCCUUCGGGUCGUAAAGCUCUGUUGUUAGGGAAGAACAAGUGCCGUUCGAAUAGGUCGGCACCUUGACGGUACCUUAACCAGAAAGCCACGGCUAAAUAACGUGC